UCUUGACAAAAAGAAGCACGUCAUCAACAAAGAAGAAGUGACAUAACUACUCAAUUUUUCCAAUCUAGAACAAAUAACUAAGGUGAUAGAGGAUUUCUUGUCUUAUGCCUAUCAGGAGAGUGGUGCAUGAAUAAGGACUCGCUCAAGUUAGCAACUUUAUAAUUCUUUCAAAAUUUGUUGGAGUUAUUGAGGCCACAGGGAGCUCAUUAGAUUCAUUUUUUAUGUGAUUUUUAUUAUAUUUGAUCUUUUUUUAUACGAGCAUCAGUUGAGUUUAUCAUAUUUUGACCAUAAUUUUUCUUGAUUUGAAUAGAACCGCCUCUUGUAAAAAAAAAUAAAAAAAUGAAGAAGAAACUUCCAAUUGAUUUUGGUCAUCAAUUCAAUGGGUAUAUGGUCCUAAGUCAACAACUGCAGCAACCACAGUGAGAAGAUGAGGAACGAAACGCUGCCUUUGAUCUUUUUCCUCUUCCUAUGUUCCCACCUCCACUCCGUCCUCUCAUGGAAGAAAGAGGAGUUCCGAACCUGCCACCAAGCCCCAUUCUGCAAGCGCGCCCAAUCCCGCGCCCCGGGCUCCUCCUCCCUCAUCGCCACCGAGAUCACCAUCUCCGACGGCGACCUCACCGCCAAACUCACCCCAUAACACGAUUCUCAAUCCGAAGAAACCAAACCCUUGAUCCUCACCCUCUCCGUCCACCAACUCGGCAUCCUCCGCCUCAAGAUCGACGAGGACCCCUCCCUCUCCCCUCCCAAGAAACGCUUCGAGGUCCCCGACGUCGUCGUUUCGGAGUUCCCCUCCACCAAGCUCUGGCUCCCCCGAGUUUCCUCCGAAAAAAACGGCGCCUACUCCUCCGUCUACCUCUCCGACGGCCACUCCGCCGUCCUCCGCCACGACCCCUUCGAGCUCUUCGUCCGCGACGACUCCUCCGGCGACCGCGUCAUCUCCCUCAACUCCCAUGGCCUCUUCGACUUCGAGCAGCUCAAACACAAAUCCGAAGACGAUAACUGGGAAGAACAAUUCCGCUCCCACACCGACCGUAGACCCUACGGCCCCCAAUCCGUAUCCUUCGACGUAUCUUUCUACGGCGCCGAUUACGUAUACGGCAUCCCUGAACGGGCCGCCAGCCUCGCCCUAAAGCCCACCAGAGGCCCAAACGUCGACGAAUCGGAACCCUACCGUCUCUUCAACUUGGACGUCUUUGAGUACAUUCACGAUUCCCCUUUUGGCCUCUACGGUUCAAUUCCCUUCAUGGUUUCUCACGGGAAAACCAGGGGUAGUUCCGGGUUUUUCUGGCUCAACGCCGCGGAGAUGCAGAUUGACGUUCUUGCCCCUGGCUGGGACGCCGAGUCUGGCAUUGUGCUUCCUUCUCAUAGAAUCGACACGUUUUGGAUGAGCGAAGCUGGUGUUGUGGAUGCCUUCUUUUUCAUCGGUCCAAACCCUAAGGAUGUGUUGAUGCAGUACACGGCGGUGACGGGAACUCCGGCAAUGCCACAGCUGUUUUCGAUUGCUUACCACCAGUGCCGGUGGAAUUACCGCGAUGAGGAGGAUGUUGAGCAUGUGGAUUCCAAGUUUGAUGAGUUGGAUAUUCCUUAUGAUGUGUUGUGGCUUGACAUUGAGCACACUGAUGGAAAGAGGUAUUUUACUUGGGAUAGGGCUCUUUUCCCGCACCCUGAGGAGAUGCAGAGGAAGUUGGCUUCUAAAGGGAGGCACAUGGUGACUAUUGUGGAUCCUCACAUUAAGAGAGAUGACAAUUUUCAUUUGCACAAGGAAGCGUCGCAGAAGGGGUAUUAUGUUAAGGAUGCCAGUGGGAAUGACUUUGAUGGCUGGUGCUGGCCAGGUUCUUCGUCGUAUCCGGAUACUUUGAACCCAGAAAUUAUGUCCUGGUGGGCUGAUAAGUCUGCUUACCAGAAUUAUGAGGGUUCAACGCCUUCGCUUUACAUAUGGAAUGACAUGAAUGAACCUUCCGUCUUCAAUGGGCCAGAGGUGACAAUGCCUAGAGAUGUUAUACACUAUGGAGGCGUGGAACAUCGGGAGUUGCACAAUGCCUAUGGAUAUUACUUCCACAUGGCGACAGCUAAUGGGCUACUGAAGCGGGGUGAGGGGAAUGACAGGCCAUUUGUUUUAUCAAGAGCAUUAUUUGCUGGAAGUCAAAGGUAUGGAGCAGUAUGGACUGGGGAUAACACUGCUGAUUGGGAUCACCUAAGAGUUUCUAUCCCAAUGGUUUUGACCCUUGGUCUUACUGGGAUGCCAUUCUCUGGUGCUGAUGUUGGUGGAUAUUUUGGGAAUCCUGAACCUGAAUUAUUGGUUCGCUGGUAUCAGCUAGGAGCUUACUAUCCUUUCUUUAGGGCCCAUGCUCAUUAGGACACAAAAAGACGAGAACCAUGGUUGUUUGGAGAACGAAAUACAGAAUUGAUUAAGGAUGCAAUACAUGUUCGUUAUGCACUUCUCCCGUAUUUCUACACAUUAUUCAGGGAGGCUAACACUACUGGUGUUCCCGUGGUCCGUCCAUUGUGGAUGGAAUUCCCAUCUGAUGAAGCUACUUUUAGCAAUGAUGAAGCUUUCAUGGUUGGGAGCAGUCUUUUAGUGCAAGGGAUCUAUACUGAGCGAGCUAAGCAUGCAUCGGUCCAUUUGCCUGGAAAAGAAUCCUGGUAUGACCUAAGAACUGGAACUGUGUACAAAGGAGGGGUGACACAUAAGUUGGAGGUUACAGAGGAGAGCAUUCCCGCUUUCCAGAGAGCUGGAACCAUUAUUGCAAGGAAAGACCGGUUUCGACAAAGUUCCACUCAGAUGGCAAAUGAUCCCUAUACUCUGGUUAUAGCUUUGAAUAGUUCCCAAGAAGCUGAGGGUGAACUCUACAUUGAUGAUGGCAGCAGCUUUAAUUUUCUGCAAGGGGGCUAUAUCCAUAGACGAUUUAUUUUCUCGAAUGGGAAACUUACUUCUAUAGACCUGGCACCUGCUUCCGGUAGCAAGGGGCGUUAUCCAUCAGAUGCUUUCAUUGAGAGGAUUAUCCUGCUGGGACAUGCUCCUGGCUCAAAAAAUGCACUCGUUGAGCCAUCAAAUCAAAAGGUUGAUAUUGAACUUCGUCCCCUUUGGGUUCUAAGAGCUCAUUCACCAGCUGUCACGACCAUACGUAGACCUAAUGUUUGGGUUGCAGAAGACUGGACUAUAACAGUUAUAUAAACAUUUCUGGUUUGCGGGGGGAAUUUAAUGUUCCAUGCUACUGCCAGUGCAAAACGAGAUUUUGUUUCUGUAGUUGAGUUGAUAUGAAGUUCAACUGCAAAGUUGGGGCAAGAGGAAAGAAAAUCAUUAGUUUUGAAGAAUGCAUCAUAUGCACCAACGCAGUUUGAGCGGUUUAUUUAAUGUAUAGGACACGAUGACUCAAAAGAUUAACAUUUGGAAGUUGUGAUUCCAUUGUUGUAUACAGGAAUUAUUUUGAUAAGGAUAAAUUUGUAUCGUCUGGAAUGGUCUGUGUCUUGCGAAAAGUUUAUGUGAUGAAUGCAAUAACUUUAGUCGUUAGUUUA